AGAACGAACGCUGGCGGCAGGCUUAACACAUGCAAGUCGAACGCGUGUAGCAAUACACGAGUGGCGCACGGGUGAGUAACGCGUGGAUAUCUGCCUUUUGGUUCGGAAUAACCCCGGGAAACUGGGGCUAAUACCGGAUGGUUCCUACGGGAUAAAGAUUUAUCGCCAAAAGAUGAGUCCGCGUACGAUUAGCUAGUUGGUGAGGUAAUGGCUCACCAAGGCGACGAUCGUUAGCUGGUCUGAGAGGACGAUCAGCCACACUGGGACUGAGACACGGCCCAGACUCCUACGGGAGGCAGCAGUGGGGAAUAUUGGACAAUGGGGGCAACCCUGAUCCAGCCAUGCCGCGUGAGUGAUGAAGGCCUUCGGGUUGUAAAGCUCUUUAGUCCACGAAUAUAAUGACUGUAGUGGAAGAAUAAGCCCCGGCUAACUUCGUGCCAGCAGCCGC
rnacentral:rRNA from 1 species